rnacentral:tRNA from 1 species
CCGUUUGCUUUUGUUCAGUGGUAGAAUGCUUGCCUGCCACGCGGGCGCCCCGGGUUCGAUUCCGGCCGAUGGA